GGAGGCACAGACGGGGGCCCGUGGGGGCAGGACAGCAGCCUCCCCGAGGCACAUGGCUGAGUGCUGAGCUGGGAAGGCACCAUCGUAAUGCCCUGGAGGGCCAGACUUGAAAUGAGAACUCUUACAAAACCACACCAGAGCACAGCCCACCUCCCUUCUCUUCCCUGACUGUGCCCCCCAGCAGAGGACCCUGGCCCACAGCCAAGCCACAUCCAUGCCACUCCUGCGAACAGCCACUUGUAACUAAGUAUGGGGAACCAAGGAAAUGUUACUAAGACAACUUGGUGGGGAGGGAGCCAGUGUUCACAGCCCCUAGGAUCCCUUUACAGUUUCUGAGCACA
rnacentral:lncRNA from 10 species